CACUCCCUAAUUACAGCCGGCAGUUGAUUGGGACAGUUGAACAUGGAGGCUGAUGGGGCCAGCCAUGGUGUUGCCAUCUAAGCAAAACACAAACAAUACAUAAACUCUCUGUAUGCAUUAGAGUUUGAUUACUCAGUCAAAACCUAAGUAUCCUGUUGGGAGAAGAACACUCAUUUUAGUGGCACUGUUCUAUUCUUUGGAUGAAUUGAAUAGUUACUAAUCCAGCCACAGAAGAAAGACACAGGAGAGGCUGAAACAUCACCUCUUGAGGGUCUCCUUUCUGGUGAUUUAUUCAGAUAUUGGCACAUGUGACUCAAUAAUGGCCAAUACUAUGUGAAGGGACAUCUUCUGGGGAGUCUUCCUCCUUUUCUUCCGGAUUCUUUGUGUCUGAAUGUGAUGCCUGGAGAUGCAACAGCAGUCUCACUACCAGCACGAGGAUGAAGCUGAUACCCAGAAUCAGUAUUUCAAGCAUCCAAAAUGUGUAGGAGAAUAUGGACCCAAGAACGGAGCAGAGAGACAAAUAGAGGAACGGAAAGUUUUGCCUACAACCAUGAUGUUCUCAAUGUUAGCUGACUGUGUUCUAAAAUCCACUCCAAUUCCCAUUUUGGGAGUUGCUAUGUGAUGAAGGUCUGCCCCUGUGGUGUUGGGACAACUUGCUCAUGGAGUUGCAGUUCUUGCCUAACAGGAACCCACCAUGGUAAGAAAAAGACUCAAGCUGGUUUAUUUGUUUUUAAGGUUGCAAGGUAAUCAAGUCCAUAACCACACUUGCUCUCACAUUUACCAAAAUAGGCCAAUCUCAGAACUAAAUGAUAAAAAUGAAAAUUAAUCAGGGACUCCCAUGGGCCUCACAUAUAUGGCAGUUUUGAAUCUGUUCUUUUUUUCACUAUCAUAAUUGUUUUUUUAAACUCAUUUUCUCUGCUUGAAUACACAACUGUAAAAAAAAGUGGGGGUAGUGGUGGUGAUAGAAAUGAAUAAACCCAUGGAAACAGUGAGACAUCUACAGAGACAAAAUUAGGAAGGAAGGAAACAAAAGCAAUUUCAGUAUCUCUGUGCAAGGCCUGCAUACCUUUCCUUGCCAAUACCCGUGGAUUGGGCUUGUCUCAGGAGGUAGCAGGUGUUUCCUUGACUCACACAGAAAACAAGCCCUUGGGCUUCUUGUGCUGUUAGGGCAAGUUACGUUCAGCACAUGAACACUGGACCCUGCUUUGCCUGUCCGUCCUUCCCAGAAGAGACACAGAUCACAGAUGAUCAAGUAGUUGAGAAAACAGUUCAAGAGGAGGCUUUGUAUCUUUUCUUUCUUUUCUUUCCUUUUUUUUUUUUUUUUGAAACGGAGUCUCGCUCUGUUGCCCAGGCUGGAGUGCAGUGGCAUUAUCUCGGCUCACUGCAGCCUUUGCCUCCCGGGUUCAAGUGAUUCUCCUGCCUCAGCCUCCUGAGUAGCUGGGUUUACAGGUGCCUGCCAGCACGCCCAGCUAAUUUUUGUAUUUUUAGUAGAGACGGGGUUUCACUGUGUUAGCCAGGAUGGUCUCGAUCUCCUGACCUCAUGAUCCACCCGCUUCAGCCUCCCAAAGUGCUGGGAUUACAGGCAUAAGCCACAGCACCCGGCCCUGUGUCUUUUCUUAAUUUGAGCGAACUUAAAGUAAAAACGCUUCUUAACAUUAUAAAGUAGGACUAUGUCCCCUCCAUUGAAUUUUUGUAAAAAAGUCGAAUAGGGAUAGAAAGCAAGCAACCAGAUAGAAUAUCAUGCCCCAGAACAUCAUUUACCUUGGUAGAACAUUACCACUUUAACACAUAGAAACCUUUUCACACUAGUUAACAAAUAGCAUUAAGCAUGAUUCAAGUCAAGAUUUUAAAAACUUGGCUGAUGCCUCUCAUUAAGAGUUGAAAACUAUAUAAGACUCUUGCUCCAGGAAACUGUGUUCUGACAUUUUAAUAGUAUUGCGUUAGCAAGAGCAGAAAAUCCAUGAACUUAGAUUCACAGAAAGUAAAUCAAGAAUCCAUCCAAAAUGGAGUGCCUCUUGCUGAGUGAUGGGAUGGUUUUCAUGUGAGAUGUCAGUGCAGCUUCUAUACUUGACAUAAAAGUUCCCAUUAAAAAAAACGGAACUGCUGCUCAAUUUUUUUUUCAUCAAGCAGAGUUACCUAAAGUGCUUUUUAGAAGAGACUAUUAGGAAAGGAAUGGAAAGUAGUCAUUAUGACUAAUCUGCUUUAGGAGUUGGGGUAACCAGUAUUACAGGAGGGACUUUCAGAGCCAUGGGGACCUUUUAGGCAACUCAAAUUCCUUCAAUUGUUUGCAGUGGUCCUCUCGAGGGGAUGUAAUGAGUUGACAUGCACCAGAACAGAUAGAAUGCACUGCCAGCUGGUAGUUUACUCUUGUACAGGAAGGCUGCUUUUCUAACACACAACUCUUUGUUGUGUUAAAGAGAAAUAAAUAUAUAAAAGCCUAAAAGUAAGCUUUCAAUUCUUUAUGUCUGGCAAAAUUGUCAGUACAAUGUGCCUUGAGGAUAUAUCCAUGGUGCUGUCUUACAAGGUUAUUACGAAAGAAUAAGCUCAUACUAUAAUAACCACCCCAUACACUUUACAGUUUAUGAAGAACUUACAUAUACAUUUUCUCAGUUGAACCUCACAACAUCAGUGGGAGGCAGGGGAGGCAGAUAUUAUUAUCUCUUGAGAGGGAGUGACCCUGCUGCUGCUGCUGUAUAUGUGUGGCUUUUGGUUUAGGAAGACUAAGUUGAUUGUGUUGUAUUUUCAAGUAUUUUAUAUCGUACAAGGAUGUUUAUUGCAGCACUGUUUAUAACAAGGAAAAAUUGGAACCUACUCGAAUGCUUGCUAAUAGGGGACUCAUUAAACUAUGGUACAAGCUUAGAUAUGACUCUGUAGUCAUUAAGAAUUUUGAUGAGGUAUUAGAAAGAAAUGUAUUGAUGUUGAAGUAUAUUUAUUGAUGAAGGAAAUUGUUCACAAUAUUUCAGCCAAUAAACAAUAGUAUAUGCAUUUUUUUGUAAUAGGAAAAAAUGCACACAGUAAAAUAGUGGUUAUCUUUGUGUGCGGUGAAUAUGUAUGAUACUUGUUUUCUUUUUCAUGCUCACCUAUCAAUUCUAAUCUUAGUGUCAAUA
ensembl:lncRNA C5orf64 chromosome 5 putative open reading frame 64